UAUGCCUUGUGGUCAGAUGUUUUGACUACCAUGGUAGCUGCUCAUGUACCAGAUUUUUGAUAAUGGACUGUGUAUCUAC
rnacentral:pre_miRNA from 8 species